CUGGUUCAGUCGCUUUCGAGAACUCAGAUUGACGGGUAGUGAGAUAGCAUACUCGUAUGAUUGAUUUAAAGUCAGCCACUGAUAGAUGGCCUUUGACUCUUCGGACGGGUAUGCUAGAAAGGAUGUUUGGACGUUUACUUGGAUCAUACGUGUAUAACGUGUUUUCCAAGUAAAUGUUUGAUGUUCCUUUUCUGAAGAAGCCUAAGGGGUUUCCUAUGUUGUUUAGGAAUGGACAACUUUUAGGUUAUUACGCCUCUUGGGACCACAAUAAACAAGGGGAAGUCGACUGUUGCCUCUAAAAGGGCCCGGAUACCACCUAAACCAGUGCAAGGUUGUAUUCCCAAGGAAGCUAUCAUAGCAAUAGGGAAUCCAUCUAGUAUUUACUAAGGAAAGAUGGUGCUGGGGGCCCCACUAAGGUGAAUGUUAUUGAACCCAAACAUUAAAAGCCAUGCAAAAAAUUCUUUCUACGUCCAUUGCUACUGUAAGACCACAAACAGGGGGAGAUGAGCAACAUGUGGGGCCUACACACUUGGAACAGCCUCACCAAGAGUCUGCACAGGACCAGGAGUUAGGUUCUUUUAUCUUACGGAGGAUGAUGAGGAGGAUUUACUCACUGAUGAAGACGCCAUGAGUCAAGAUGAGGAAGAGGUUUUUUGCUCAAGUUGGAGUGGAAGCAGUGAGGGGGGCGAGUUCCCUAACCUACGCGAGCCUAAAGAGAAGAGAGUUCAGUCUACGAAGGGUUCGAGUUAUCAGUCCGGAUCAGUCCCACGCAGGCCGCAGAGAAAGAGACAAGGAGGAUGAAGGGGGCACUACGGGAAGAGCAUCCAAGACGCGCUAAGGCAAAGGCAUAGAGAUCAAACAAAGGCUUAAUAAGCACAGAUUUCCUAGAAAGAAAGAUUUCCUCUCUUAAAGAUGCUUUCUUCCUGUGAUAGAAGUCAAACUCAACAGCUGACGCAACUACUUAUGCACUUCCAGUCCACCCAGACCGGUAGUAGCUGCAAGCCUACUUCUUAUUGCAUUUGAAGGAGGAAUAAGACCAAAAAGAAGGAGAACUAACGACGGGAAGAGAAGAUUGUUAGUUUCUAAAGGCUGGACCAAUCAAACCAUAUCGUAUCGAACCAUAGAGGGAGCGAGGAGCACAUAUUCUUUAUUACUGACUUUUCGUGGUUGAUCGCACCAAUAGGAGUCGGUGAUUAUGAGUAGGAGAACAUUCUUUAUUGCAAGAUGUUCGUCUACCCGUCACCUUUGGUCAACUCAAACAAGAGGCCAGGAAGGACAUUGUUGAAGGCUCACUGAGUGCUUCUAGGUUAAAGGGAGCACUAUACUCACUCCACGGGAACUCGCUUUUCGGUUUGCUUCAGAUUUGGCAUUCAUUCCCCCUCCCUUUCCUGGAUUUCGCGUUAUUGUCUGCUAUGCUAGCCUAUGAUGGAUGAAGGCCUUUCAUUUUGGCUCUGUAGGGCUACCCUAUGGUAUGGGCUAUUAUCUCAAGGGCCUGGUUAGGCUCUUCUUGUUGGAGUAUCCUCGCUCAAAGGCUAAAAUGAAUUCUCUCUUUUCUUUUGGGAGUGCCUGAAGAGACCUGCUUACUGGAAAGUACCAUUCACAAAGAAUGGUGAAAGGGUUACCUACCCAAGGAUCCUCCUUCUCUUACAGAGGUUUACUACUAGCCAUACCCAGCGGAAUACAUAUUGCCCAAAUGGAACCUGAAAGAUGGGAUGGGUGAUCCAUAAGAUCAUUUGGCGAGGUUCAGCCCUCAGCGUGGGGAUCUUUCUGGAAAUCAAAACUGGUUUUGUUGAGGAACGAAGUAGCCCGUCGCUUACCCGCAUUUCUCUUGGUAUACCAACCUGUGUGCCUCUUAAUUCUGUGAAGUCCUUGGAGCAUGUGCGAUUUAUUCAGGAUCCUUGUCAAGAAAGAAGUUAGUCCCUUAUUCUUUAUUUUAUGUUAAAAGGUCUGGACUAGAAGAGGGAGUCGAUUCACGUACUUUACCAUUUCCUGGGUCCUUAUCGCCUUUCCCCGGAUCAGGGUAUGGGUUCUUUCUCUAUGUUGAAUGUCCCGGUGUGAACUCCCCUACUGAUCUGACUCCGGCGGAUUCUCGAGAAGAGAGGAGCCGUGGUGGUCCCCCCUAGACCGCCCGGAUCCCACGAGUGAAUCGAAAGUUGGAUCUACAUUGGAUCUCACCCGAAUCGCCCCAUCUAUCCUCCUGAGGAGGAGUUCGGUUUCAAACCCCGGUUCGAACAGGAGGAGUAUGCCAUGCUAAUGUGCCUUGAAUGAUCCACAUCUCAGGGUCAGGCGCCGAUGAUCACAUUGAACUAUCCAUGUGGCUGAGAGCCCUCACCGCCCAGGCACAAUGACGCAAUUAUCAGGGGCGCGCUCUACCAUUGAGCUAAUAGCCCGUCGUGCGAGCCUCCCACUGGGGGCCCGCUAUGCCAAAAGUGAGAGAAACCCCAUCCCUCUCUUUCCUUUUUUCGCCCCCAUGUCGCCACACGGGGGGAACAUGGGGACGUAAAAAGGGGGGUCCUAUCAACCCGACCUAGGAUAAUAAGCUCAUGAGAUUGGUCUUACUUCACCCACUGCAUAAAUAUCCUUUUCAUAGUAGUAGUCAUCCACUAACGGUGGUGCUUUAGUCAAAUACUUCACUGCAUUUACUUUCUAUGCACAGCCAGUGAUAUGUUUCAAUACCAACCCGAGCUGAAUUCUCAUUUGAUCCAUCUCUUCACGAAUCUCAUCUGAGGCUGCAUUUUGUGUAGCUAGAACUGCAAAGGUGUUUCUCCCAGUGUCUGAUUUCCUAGUGCUCCAAGCCUUAUUGUUGCGAGAGAUUUUCUCCAGCUUUUUUGCAAUCUCUGCAUAUGUUCACUCACCAUAAGAAGUACCCACAAUAGUAUCAAGUGCUGACUUAUUAUUAUCAUCUUGCCCCCGAUAGAAGUACUCUUUCAACAACUCAUCAUCCAUGCGGUGGUUUGGGACACUUCUCACAAAUUAGGUGAACCUAUCUCACAAGUACUCACCGUCUCCCCAGGCAACGCCACAAAGUUGUUCACUCUAUCUUUGUUGUUGAGAGUUUUAGACACCGUGUAAUACUCUGCUAGGACCACAUCCCUAAACUGCUCCCAAGUAUAGAUCAAAUUGUGGGGCAAAUUAGUGAAGCAAAUUGUGGCCUCUCCCAUCAGUGAGAGAGGGAACACUCUUAACCCGAUGACGUCCAUAUUCAAGUCUUGUCUCCUUACACAACUAUUACACACUGACCUCAGUUUGGGAAUGUAAGCAUGUGGAUCCUCAAAUGGUAGCCCCAAAAACAAAACUUUGGCGGUGAGCAUCUGCAUCAAGUUACUAGUUACCAAGAACGAAUGAUCCUGUGGUGGAGGGGGUAGGAAAAGAGAUGCAUCAGAGUCAAUGAUGUUGAUGUUGCCCGUGUAGAACUCUUGAGUGCGUGGAAUGGGAGGUUUUCUCCUUAAAACAUCAUCACCAGGGUUUUCGACAAUCACUUGGUUGUGAGCAUCAACUGACAGAGAAAGUUGACGGUUGAUCCUAUUACCUAGAUUUACGGGAUUCUAUGGAUCAUUCGUUAUACAGAGUGUACAGUUCAGUUAUCAAUCAAGUGGAAGUAUUGGUUCUUCUCGACUCCAUGUACUUGGCAUACACUAGAGCUAGACCUGAAAGACACAAAAACAAAAAAAAGUAAAAUUAGGAAAUUUUUUACUAAAAUUAAGUAUUUGAUAUUAAAGGUAAUUUAAAAUCCACUUUCCCUUGCAGCGGCGCCAAAAUUUGAUACGCUCAAAUUACACUUCCCUAAAUAAAUAUAGGUGGUCGUAUCAAGUAAAGAACUCAACUAUUAGGUUGGGUUCGAUCCCACGAGGAAAAUGGUUUAGACUUAACUUUAAUGUACGAUUACCUCUAUUUAGUCAAGUCUUUCCAAAAACUAGUAAUUAAACGGGAGGUUUUGUAAAACAAAAGCGUUUCAAUGAGGUGAAAUUAAAUAAGUAGCAAAAGUAAAUUAUUGAUGUUUAUCAAAUUAUGAGAGACUAGUGUAUAGGUGUUCCCCAUAGGUUCAUAACGCCAUAAUCCUAGCUAUAACAAAUCUUUCUCACUGUUUUGCCUGCUGAGUGAUAAAUUAUGUAUCUCUAAGUCCUUGGUCGCAUUUAGGCAAUUUCACCCUGUACAUUGGUCCGGCUACGUGUGUCUAAGUUACUAACCCUUACCUUUACUUCGUAUUAAGAAUUAUAUUUUAUGUUUGGCUUAGUUAUUACUUUUCACCAAUCGAUAAUAGUCUAUGAGAUAGUAUCCACUAAAUCUUUGUCGAUAAUUCUUUUUCUAUUAAUUACCUCCUUGGUCCGGUAAGUAGCAAUAAGGCGAGUUCUAACACGUGCACUCGUUAAAAAGACUUCUAGACAAAAGAUUUAUCGAUGCAUGCAAUAACUUAUACGAGAAUUGUUACCUAUCUAGGGUUAUUUUUUUAAUCACCCAUAGUUUCCACAACCUUAGUUGUGGAUUUAGUUACCCGUGACUAGAAUAACACAAUUCAUAAUUGUUAAAUAAUAAAUCAUGAACUUACUUUGAUAAAUUCAAAGAAAAUCCAGAAAUUCAACUUGAAAUCACACAAUUAUCUUGAAAACCAAAUCCGGAAAAUUUGAAUCAAGGACAAAACAAAUCUCCAAGAUCAAAGUAUGAAAUUAGUAAAAGAAUUAAACCCCCAAAACGAGUUUUUUCACCCUAUUUAUAAUAAAAAGAGUCCUAAAUUAAAAAGGAUUCAAAAUAAGUAAAGUUUUGUCCAAAACGUGGCUUCAAUCGACGACCCCACAAACGGUCUAUCCAUUAAACGACGGACCAUCAUCUGCCACUGUCGGUCCAUACUUAUCAUCUUUUCAAAGCCUGCACUUCGCAUCUUCUUUGAUCCAAUCGACGAACCAGCAGCACAGUCCGUAGAUGCUCUUAGGAUCCAUUGAUGCUUAUCGUUGUUCGAUACAUAGAUUUUCUUCAACAUUAGGUACUAGGGCAGUCUUUGAUCACAUCGACGCUUUUCCAGGAUGGUCCAUCGAUCAUCGAUGGGUUGGCGAUCCCUCCAUAGCCCCACACUUGGUCAGAAUUCCCUGAGUUGCUUCCAGAUGACUGAACCUUCAAUUGACGGUCACCACCUACGAUCCGUCGAUGGGACGAUAGGUCGUCAAUGGCUUCAUGAGUCACUUCUGGACUUAAUUCAUCUUAGCCUUUUGCAUUUCUGUUUUAGAUAACUUUCCUGCAAAACAAAGACAAAAUAUAUUAAAAUUACUACAGAAGGCUCUAGACACACAUCAAUCUUAAGAAAAAGCAUUGAAAGUACCGUGAAACUACAGUACAUCAGAAGAUGGAUUUGGAAGAUUGUGAUGUGAUUACAUUUAUGCUUAUGUGUGAGUUGAAAGUUAUUACAUGUUGAAAUUUAUAAAUAUAUGAUAAACAUGUCUAAUGUUGGAGAAGGAAGAUCCUCUAUGAAUGAUAAGAAAAUGAAGAAGUAAGUGUGUGUUUUUUAUUGUGAAAUUUGUUCCAAAAGGUUGCCUGUGUUGCUAAGAAAUGCUUAAAUGAUAUAAAGUUAGAGUUCCUUGUUAGGUUUGUGCAUUGAAUAUGAAUGUUUUGACCUUUAUUUGAUGUUUCAUAUGCUUCUAUUUGAUUCCUUUAUGCCCUUUCAAGUGUUUAGUAUCAUUCGAGAAUGAAUGUUGUUCCAUGUGAGGGAGAAUGUAACGUCCUUAAAAUGAACUAGUUGAAACUAGAGCUUCACAUGUGCCUCAUGCGUUAAUUAUGUGUUAAAAUUAUUAAAAAUUAUUUUUGAGGCAUUUUCUAAAGUUUGGUGAUGUUUUGGAGGUCAAACGUCCAAGAACGUCAAUGACGUUCGUAAGAUGUGCCUUGGAAUGUGCUUGUUGGUCCUUAUAUGUUGGGAAGUUUUACAAGUUUAUUUUGGUUUAAAAUGAUGUGAGGGGACCCUAGGAACUAUAUUAACAUGUAUAGGGGUUCAAAGUUUAGGUACGAAUCAACCUAGGAUCCACAGGGGGUCCUAGAAGAGGACCCAAAACAUGGCAACAAAGCUGCCAACACUACCUCAAUCGACGCCCCUCACCUACAGCCAGUAGGCUGAACAACACUCCGUCAUUGGGGGAGUAGUUCCAUCCUUAGUCGUGAUAUAUUAACCCCCAUGUUACCAGCCUCAGACCCAAUAGACACCCAGCAGCACGAGCCGUCGUCCAAUCAACGCCCCGUUGCUAGGGCCAGUCGAUGGAGGUCCUGCAAAAGUUGUCACUAAUCUGCCAAGACUUGGGGUGUUUUCUAAAUUCAUCCCAAAUCGUUUAUGAACCAAGGAGGAUUAUUUUAGGUUCUUUUAGGUAUUUUAAGAGGUUUCAAACAAUAAGACCAAAACUAAUCCCUCAAGAAAGACUCUCCCAAACUCCAUUGAAGCUAGAAAUCAAGAAAGGGCAAGGGUUGAAGCUUUUGGACGUUUCCUUCACCACAAUUGUGUGGUUUUCUUCUUAUUUAGGUAUGGUAGUUCAUCCUUGAACUUUCUUACAUACAAGGAGUCACUUCAAAGUGAUUUCAAAAAGGGUUUUAAACCCCAACUUCUCCUAUCUUUGACCCUAAGCAUGGGUCUUUGCAUGAAAACAUUUUAAGGGUUCAAAUAUGUUGUUUUUACUUGUAGUUGGUGAUUUUAAUGUCAAAAAUUCAAUGAAACCAUGUUUAUGCUUAUUGCUGGCUUUUGGAUUAUGAAGUGGGUUUGUUGCUUUUAUCUAGAUAAUAUUAGAGUUGAGUUUCUUAUGUUGUAUUUUGGGAUAGCUACUGCCUAUAUAUGCCUUUUUAUGUUGUUUUAGUGAAAUAUUUAUAAAAGGUGGUGAGAUAUUAGAUGAAGAGUAAGUUGUUCUUUCUUCUUUAUUUUCCAUUUGAAUGUUCUUCAGUUGUAUAGUCUACUUUUGUGGCGGUGUUUACAUGAAGUAUAUGAUUAUGUAUUUAUAUGUGUAUUGUUAUUAUGGCCUUGAAGGCUUGAUAUAUGAAUUAAAGUGAUAAUGAUGCUGUUUUUGUUGAUAUGCUUUAUGAUGCUUGAAUUGUAUAUUUUGUAGAGGUUAUGUCUAAGUGAAAUAUAUUUAUAUGUAAAGCAUGCUAGUGUGUGAUAUAUGAUGAAUGAAGGUAUGAGUAUAUACAGUAGUCAAUGUUAUGAAAAUGAUGAUUAUGUGAAGGGUGUUUUACAUGCACUCACACACUCUGAGUGUACGUAUGAAUGAAGUUUAUGAAUGUAAAUGGGGAUUCUAGGGUGGAUACUCUUCGUAAGUAGAGAUUAAGUGUCUAGACCAUUCCUACUAUCCCUAUAGUAUGAAAAGGGGAGUUUUGGGGUGAACACUCUUUAUGAGUUGAGAUGAAGUGUUUAGUAGCAAUCUCACUAUUCCCAAGAGAUUUUUAAGUUAGGCUGGAGGAUGGGCAUCCUUCGUGAGUUGACAUGUGGUGUCCAAUAGUUACCCUUAACCUUUAGUAAUGAAUGUUUAAGACUCUGUGGGAGAGUUAUGCUUAACACCAAGAGGAUUUGAAGAAGGGGUGGGUACACUUCGUGGGUAGAGAUAAUGUAUCCAAAGUACCUCUUGAGAUGAGUGCUCCUUAUUAGAAGAUGAAUAAGCCACUUACAAGAAAUCUCUUUAUCCCUUAACUAUGUGCCGCAUAGGAGUAGCUAAUGGAAACCCCAUGUAAAGGCUCAAGAAUGACCCUACCUUAGGCAAGUGGGGAUCCCUCAUUCGGUAGGGGUUAAUACCGGGAUUCCAUGUCUAGCUCUCAUGGUCUAUGUCAUUUAAAUCUAUACCCCACAAAAGAAUGUAAUGAACUAAGUCUAUUAAAGUGUGUUCUACUUAGGGUAGGUGGUGGUAUGGGACACUAUCUAUCGAUGCACGAGUAGGCACUUGAAAGGGGAGUCUUGGUGUGUCUUUAUAUUUAAUGUAUUAAUGGGUCAUUAUCCAAUGUAAAUGAAGUUGUGUGACUUAGUUCUAAUGUCAAUAGAGCAUGUUAAAGUUAUGUCUUGUAUGAUGAAGGUUAUGAAUGAUGAAUGUGGUGUGCCUAAUAUUAGAGAAUCUUCAAGGAGCACUUGGUGGGGGUAGUAGUAUGGGAUGCUACUCUCAUACGCACUAUGUAUAACUUGGAGGUUGCCUUGGAUAAGGGUUCUUAUGUGAAGUCCCCAAACGUAUGUAUGUUCCUUAGUGUCUUGCUAUUGACUGUGGGCUUGUUACCCUUGUGAAGUAAGUCUAUGCUUGGUAUUCUUGAGGAUCACUUGGGUGUGUAUUGAAGGGAUUGUAUGGGAGGUUUCUUUAUGUCGUACCUUAGUGAAUCUUAGUAUAACCUUGGUUAGGGGAAAUUCAAGGUAAAUGAGUUCACUGUGAGUUGACAGGAGAAAGGGUUUAAUGUAAGUUGAAAUGAAAAAGAGUUCACUGUAAGGUUUUCUUGAGUUUACUGUAAUGUGCAUCUUUGGAUUCAAAUUAUGGAAGUUCUACUCUAUGUGCUAAAUGAUGAUUAACUCAUGAAGGUUAACUCAUUUAGCAUGAAAACUUUAUUUCUACUAAAAUUUCCUUUUUUGCAUGUUUUUGCAUAUUGUCAUACUUAGUACAAUGUUUGUACUAACCCAAUACUUUUCUAUACUCUAUAAGUAUAGAUUGGAAGCACGCAGAAGUUUAGAAGGCACGCUUGGGAAGUUGACUCUCUCAAGAGUCGUUAUUUCCUCAUAUAUUCGAGGACAUAGUCUAUGUUUCUUUAGAUUUUCAUCAAGACUUGUAUAUGACUUUUUAAGUAUUCUCUUUCGAUGUAAAGGGUCGUGACCCUAAGAUAUUUGUCUUCAAGUUAGCUUUUGACGACGAGACUUAUCCUUAUUAUUUAUAAAAGAUAUUCUCUUAUUAUUAUUAAUGUCGUAAAUAGUUUUAAUUUAGCACUACUUCAUAUCUCAUGUAAAGAACGAUAGUUAAGAGGCUAGUACAAGACCCCGAAAGGUCAAUUAAGCCUUGUCACGACUCAAGAGUGCUCCCUUCUUCUAGGGUGUACUUGUGGGUCGUGACACACAUGUAUUGUAAAGCAUCAUCGGUCAACCCAAUUAUCCAUUACAUGAUAUAAGAAAUCAAUUGGCAGAACAUGCAAUAAGACUAGUCACUCUUCUACCUUUAUAUUUUGCAUGCAUUACAACUCUAGAUAUUAAUAUCAUACUAGAAUACUUGCCUCUAAACCCUUACUAGCUUCUUUCAUGAUCAUACCUAAUCAUUUCAUCCCUUGAGGAAAUUUCGGAUAUACUAUUACCAACCCGGCCAACCACUCACAGUACACCCUUAUGCUUUCCUCAUCUGUACCCAACUUCUUACCCCAUAUUAUGCCUAUUGAGGCUUACUAUCCGCUUAUAUUACCACCCCCUUACGGUGAAAACCCAACUAUUAACACUAUUACUAAAUACCACCCCAAAACUCAACAAUAAUACCCAUGACCACAUCUACCUAACAAAGAUAGCACCGGGGACCUUAGUUCCUCCUUACCAUACUUCAACCUGAAUUGUGACCCUAUAUAAGAACACUAAGGUAUAAUCCAAUAAUCAGUUCAUGAACCAUGCCCAAUUCCACAUUCUCAAAAUAAUAUACAUAUAUUACAAGUCAAUGGUUCUCCAAUAGAACCCAAUUCGAAACUAUUAGUGUGCCAGAUCAUGGCACCCAAUGCAAUAUGUAUGUCAAUAACUGAUAUUGAAUCCUAGUUAGUGUGUCGGAACAUAGUACUUGAUUCAAUGCAAGUUAGUUUGUCGGUAUGUGACACCCAAUCCCUUGCAUCAGAAUACAAACAUAAUUACAUCCAAUGUACAAUGCCCACAUCAUAUAGUCAAGUACUCAAGUUCCUGGCAUGCAUUGUUCAUAAUCAAUUUAUUUGGUUCGUUACUUUGGUUAUACUUUGUUUAUAUGCAUAUAUAUCAUACUACCACCAGUCAAAAACAUACCACAAAGUAGGAAAUCACAACUAUUUCCAAAUCCAAGUUCAAGAAUAGGGUCUUCGCCUAAAGUGUUCGUCUAAUGUAACACUUAGGGAUAUAUGCAUAAUCCACCUUUUUGUGUUGCACAAAAGCCUAUACAUGACUUUUACCGUCAAUUUUAAUAUACUACACAAUGAAUAACAGAUUUAUAAAUAUUUAAUAAUUAAACCUAGCCAACCUAGGCACUAAACACUUGCACAAAAUUUAUAAUCCCAAUGUCACGACCCGAAAGUACCCCCUAGUAGUUAGAAGGAACCCUCAUUUCAUGACUGGGCAUACUUGACCCUUUGAGUUCUUGUAAAAGCCCGUUACAUUAAAAGUAGAGCGGAAUUAAAAAAAUUCAUGAAUAAAUUAAUAAAAAGGAAAUCUAUCAUAAAUACUUAAGAAAUCUCAUCGUCACAAGCAAAACUUAAGGCAUGACAUAUAAUAAAUAUCUUAGGGACACGGCCCUUUACAUUGAGAUAAAAUAUAUAUUAAGUCUUAAUAAUAAAACUAGGAAACAAUAGACUAUGUCCUCAAAUAUAUGAGGACAUACCAAUUCUUGAGAGAGUGAAUUUCCCAAUCUUCGCCUUCGAAUCUUCCAAAAAGUCUUCAACCUAUAUUUAUAAGGUAUAGAAAAGUAUGGGGUUAGUACAAUUAAUGUACUAAGUAUGGAAUAUGCAAAAACAUGCAAAAGGGGAAAUUUUAGUAAAAUAACAUUUUAUGCAAUUUAAGUAAAAUAUUCAAGAAUAUAGAAGCAAACCAUCAUAAAGAACAUCAUUUAACACUUAGAGGAGAAUUUCCAUAAUUUUAUCCAAAGGGCACUCUUUAUAGUAACUUCCUAAAAAUAUUACAGUGAACUCAAAACUAACAUUACAGUGAACUAAUUGGAACUUUAACAAUUAAUCAUUUAAGGCAUUCACUAUGAAUUAUCCUAAUCUAAAUUAGUAGACAUCCAAGGCCAAGCGUAAGAGAAAGUAAACUCAUUUUCCGUAAGAGUUUCCCUACCUUGGGAUUACCUAUGACCCACUAAGGUAAGACAUGAAGGAAGUAUUCAUAUGCUUACUUCAAUACACACCAAAUCAAUCCUCAAGACUACCCCUUUCGGCUUAUUCAACUCAGGAGAAACAAACCCCUCAAUCAAUGGCAAGAUAUUAAAAGACCCCCAACAAACAAUCAAAGUCUUCCCUUCCGGAAUGCCUACUUAGUGCAAUGAGUAUAUAUUUUCUCAUACCACCACCUACCCUAACUAGUACAUUCUUCUAGAAGGUUUGGCACCAAGUCUUCCCUUUAGAAAGGUCCUACCUAGUGAAAUGAGUAGAUAGCAUCCCAUACCACCACCUACCCUAAGUAGUACAUUCUUUUAGAAGACUUAGUUCAAUCAAAUCUUUUGUGGAGGGUUAGCUUAGCCGAAAUAUACCAUGUGAUAUAGACAUUGAAUCCCGACAUUAACCUCUAUCGGAUGAGGGAUCCUCACUUGCCUAAAGUACGGUCAUUCCUUUUAGCUUUUACAUGGAUUUCCCAAUGGCUACACCUAUGUGAGCGCAUAAUUAAGGGAUAAGGAGAUUGCUACUAAGUAAUUCAUUCUCUACUCACGAGGAGUACUCAUCUCAAGAGGUACAUUGGAAUAAAACAUCUCAACUUACGAAGUGUAACCAUCUCUUCUUCAUAUCCUCUCGGUGGUAGACAUAACCCUCACGGAUUCUAAACACUUUGAACUAUAGCUUAAGGAUAGCUAGUGAACACCACAUAUCAACUCGCGAAGGGCAUUCAUCCUCCGACCUAUCUUAGAAAGCUCUUAGGAGGUAGUGAGGUUGCUACUAACCACUUCAUCUCAACUCGCGAAGAAUGUUCACCUCAAAACUCCUUUAUUUACUCAACUUAACUUCAUACAUUCCUUUAAGUGUGUGUGAGUACUUGUGAGCACAUCUUUCAUAUAAACAUCAUUUCAAUAAUAUUAUCUUCUAUACAUGCUUUAGUCCUACAUUAAUCAAUUUACACACUUUACAUGCUUCACAAGUCAUAUACUUUACCUAGACAUAAUCUAAGACAAACAUGCUAUUCAACUUCACAAAACACAAGACAAGACUUAUCUUCAAUAUCACUUCAUUUCAUAUAAUGGACCUUCAAAUCCACACUCACAAAACAUAUUACGUAUUAUCAAGUUCAUCAAAUAAACAUUGCCACCAAGAAGGUGGACGAUGCCACUCAAAAGCAAUUAAUCAUAAGAAUUAUUAGUAUAUGAAACUCACCAUUUAAACAAGCCAUCAUACACUAUAAUCAAUUUUUCAGUAUUUCAUAACAAUAAGUCCAUUAGGGCAGUAUCUAAACUAAAUCAUCAAUAUAAGAAAAACCAAUAUUCAUACCUUACCCAAACAUGCUCAUUUAACCCAUUUCUUAAGGUAAAAGUUUGAAAUAUGCAUAUACAUAAGUUCAUUAUGUUUUAAAAAUGAAAAUCAUAAAUUCAUACAAGACUAAACAUAUUUGAAUCAUUAGAACACUUUUUCAAGAAGACCCAUGCUUAAAAUCAAAGAUAGAAGGAAAUAGUGUUUUAAAAUCCUUUUUGAAAUCUUUUUGGAAAUGACUCCUUGAAUGGAAGAGGGUUCAAGGAUGGAUAUAAUACCUCAAAGAGAACUAAACACACUAAAUUUAUAUGAAGACACACAUCCCAACCAUCCCUUCUAUCCUUCCUUGAGUUUUAGCUCCAAUGGUCACUUUAAGAGAGUUUUCUCUCGGGAGUUUGAAUAUUUGAAGUGAGGGGUCUUCUCUAGGUCUAGGGAUCAAAAAUAACUUAAUAUAACUUUAAAACUCUAAAAAUAUAAGACUAGGGUCCUAAAAUACUUGGGUUGAAUUUUCACAAAACACCCCAAGUAGGCAGCAAACAUGCAGCAGCUUUAGCAGGUGCCAAUUGACAACCCAAUCUACUAGGCGUCGUUUGAUCGAUGGCCCGUGCUGCUGGGUGUCGAUGGCUUAAAAGACUGGUUUCAUUGGGGGAUAUAAUUCCCACUAAUUAUGGUACAACUCCCCCCGGUCGAUGUGGCAUCGAUGGGCCUACGCCCAGUAGACUGCCUCGUUGAUCGAGCAGCGGUCUUGGCAGUUUUAUCCAAGUCUUGGGCCUUUCAUCUAGGGCCCCUUAUGGGUUCUAGGUGGGGUCGCUCCCAGACUUUAAAAACCUAAACUAAGUCUUCUAGGUAUUAGGAACAUCUCACAUCAUUCUCAAGCAAAACGAACGCGUAAAACUCACUCAAAUACAACACGACACAAGAACACUUUCUAAGACACACCUUCCGAACGUCAUGGACGUUCUUGGACGUUUGACCACCAAAAUUAACCAAACUUCACACUGCCUACGAACACUAAAGUUACUAAUUUUAAAACAAAAUUUAGUCAAGAAACACUCGUGAGGCUCUAGUUCACCGUGGUUCAUUUUGGGGCGUUUCAUUCUCCCCAACUUAGAAUAACAUUUGUCCUCGAAUGACCCUAAAACUUCAAGAACAACAAGGAGUCACUUAGAAUCACAUAACACAUCAAAAUCAAGACUCAAACACUCAAACUCAAAGAAUCAACUACAAAGGAGAAUCAUUUCACAUUUUCAAACACUUAGCAACAUAAGCAACUCUUGCAAAUUUCAAUAUUUUCAAAACUCACACUUAAACUUCUCCUAUGGAGGAAUUACCUUCUCCAACAUUAAACAUGCUCAUAUACAAUAAUUUUGCACACAUUGAAACUUAAAUUCAAGACAAGCAAAUUUUUCUCAAAAUUCACAAAACUUACAGUGAACAUUCACUGUGUCACUGCCAACAUACUCAAAAUUUUCAAAAUUUCAUUCUUUGAGAUAUUUAUCAAGAUGACAUGAUCAUAUGAACUGUAAAACAACAUAAACUCAUUUCAUUAUCAUAAAAACAACAAUCAUAAAGAAUUAAGACUUACCAAGAUCAUCAACUCCGGACUAGUUAUCCUUCAUAGCUCUUAUCCCAUAGGAAGGGUUCUUCUUUGGAGCAUUAGGAUCUACGGAAUCUUGAUUGACCUAUUUCCCUCUUGAUUUGAUGUUAGGUAAAUCCCUCAUCUUGUGGCCCUUAUUACAAAAUGUAAAAAAACCAUCCAUUCCGGCAAGACAUAUACCCAAAUGUUUCUUCCCACAAGUAGGGCACCUAGUCCUCUCAAAAGAAUAGCCACCACCUUGGGAAUUUUAAUUUGAAUCCCUAUCCUUGUUUCCCAUGGAAGAAUCUUGGUGAUAGAACCUCUUAUUAGGGUUUUGGUGACUAGAAUCAUUCGACCUAGGCAUCUUACCCUCUUGCCUUAUCUCACUAAUUUUGGACUCCUCAAUAUGUUGUGCAUAGACCAUGAGCCUAGAGAUAUACAUUUAAUUAAGAAACAUUGUCGUACGGAACUCUUUAUCCACCAAGCUAGACACUACCAUCACAAACUUUUUCAUCCUAGACCUAGGGUUUGCUACCAUGCUUGGGUCAUACUUAGAGAGUUGGGUUAAUUUGAGAGAAUACACUUACACACUCAUUCCUCCUUACAAAAGUUCAUGAAUUCAACCAUCUUCUUCUCCCUCCACUCUAGGGUAAAGAACCUACUAGACUCUUUGAAUUCCUCCUAAUCAAUCGGACCUCUCUCUAAGGGUCUCUCAAUCCUCCAUUUCUCAAACCACACUUGAUCCACAUCUUUAAGUUUGUAAACGGAUAACUCCGCUUUCUCCGUAGUGGUUACACCCAUAGCAUAUACCACCUUGAAAAACUCAUCUAUGAAACCCUGUGGAUAGUCAUCCACCUUAGUGCCAUGGAUAGUGGGAGGGUUCAUCCUCAUGAAAUCCCAAAUUCUAGAAGUGGUAAAACUAGCAUUAGGUUGGGGUCCAACUCCUUGGUUAGCUUGGGUAACAAAGUGAUUGUUGACGACAUGAUCUUGAGUCGUCAUGAGUUGGGUCAAGUUCAUUAGGGAAGCCUUCAACUCCGCAUUAUCCAUAUCUCCUUCAACAAAAGGAUCUUGGGGCAUAGGAGGCUCCGGAGUCUCUUGAGGUUCCUGAAGGGGAACCUUUUCAUUCUCUUUCUCUAGACCAACAAUAGGAACUUGGUCAACACGGGGAGGGAUCCUCUUAUUAGCUACACCUCCCUCCUCCCUUCUAGCAGUUGAUAUCUUCAUAUUCAUGUCCUAUAAACACGAAGAGAAGAGGUUAAGAGAAUACACCUUAUAUGACUCAACUCUAAGGCACAACAUUAGAAUAGAGAAGAAAGUGAAACUUCUAUCAUCGUAUAGCCUCUUUUACAUGGAUGUGUUGCGACUCACACUAAAGACCAACAUACUACUAGAUGUGGCUUGUGAGACUUUUAGAACCUAAACUAUUUCCCACAACCUAUGCUCUGAUACCAAGUCUUUCACGACCCGAAAGUACCCCCUAGAAGUUAGGAAGAACCCUUAUUUCAUGAACAGGAGUACUUGACCCUUUGGGUUCUUGUACAAGCCCUUUAACUAGCAUUCAUUAAAUAACACAGGAAAAGUAGUGCAUAAUUAAAAAUUUCAUGAAUAAAUUAUUAAAAAGGAAAUCUUUCAUUAAUACUUAAGAAAUCUCAUCAUCCCAAGCCAAACUUAAGACACGACAUAUAAUAUCUUAGGGAAACGGCCCUUUACAUUGAUAUCAAAUACAUAUUAAGUAUUAAUAAUAAAACUAGGAAACAAUAGACUAUGUCCUCGAAUAUAUGAGGACAUACCAAUUCUUGAGAUAGUUAAUUUCCCAAACUUCGCCUUCGAAUCUUCCAAAAAGUCUACAACCUAUACUUAUAAGGUAUAGAAAAGUAUGAGUUUCGAACAAUUAAUGUCCUUUGUAUGACAUAUGUAAAAACAUGAGAAAGGGACAUUUUAGUAAUAUGACAUUUCAUGCAAUUUAAGUAAAAUAUUCAAGAGUUUAGCAGCAAAACAUCAUAAAGAACAUCAUUUAACACUUAGAGGAGAAUUUUCAUAAUUUUAUUUAAAGGGCACUCUUUACAGUAACGUCCUAAAAAUAUUACAGUGAACUCAAAACUAACAUUACAAUGAACUAAUUGGAACUUUAACAAUGAAUCAUUUAAGGCAUUCACAAUGAAUUAUCCUUAAGAGUUUCCCUAACUUGAGAUUAUCCUAUGACCCACUAAGGUAAGACAUGAAGGAAGUAUUCAUAUACCUACUUCAAUACACACCAAAUCAAUCCUCAGGAGUACCCCUUUCGACGUAUUAAACUCAGGAGAAACAAUCCACUCAAUCAAUGGCAAGAUAUUAGAAGACCCCUAACAAACCACCAAAGUCUUCCCUUUAGAAAUGACUACUUAGUGCAAUGAGUAUAUAGUGUCUCAUACCACCACCUACCCUAUGUUGUACAUUCUUCUAGAAUGUUUGGCACCAAGUCUUCCAUUUAAAAUGGUCCUACCUAGUGAAAUGAGUAGAUAGCGUCCCAUACCACCACCUACCCUGAGUAGUACAUUCUUUUAGAAGACUUAGUCCAAUCAAAUCUUUUGUGGAGGGUCAGCUUAGCUGACAUAGACCAUGAGAUAUAGACAUGGAAACCCGACAUUAACCUCUAUCGGAUGAGGGAUCCUCACUUGCCUAGAGUACGGUCAUUCUUUUUAGCUUUUACAUGGAUUUCCCAAUGGCUACACCUAAUCAAUUUCUCAAUAUUUCAUCAUAAUAAGGCCCUUAGGGAAUUAGCUAAACCAAUUAGUCAACAUAAGAUAAACCAAAAUUCAUACCUUACCCAAACAUGCUCAUUUAACCUAUUUCUUAAGGUAAAAGUUUGAAACAUGCAUAUACAUUAGUUAAUGAGGUUUUUAACAUGAAAAUCAUCAAUUCAUACAAGACAAACAUAGUUAUAUCAUUAGAAAACUUUUACAAGAGGACACAUGCUUAAAAUCAAAGAUAGAAGGAAAUAGAGUUUGAAAAUCCUUUUUGAAAUCUUUUAGAAAUGACUCCUUCAAUGGAAGAGGGUUCAAGGAUAACAUAUGUACCUCAAAGAGAAGGAAAUCCAAUAAUUUUUUAUGAAUACACACGUCCAAACCAGCCCUUGUUUCCCUCCUUGAGUCUUAGAUCCAAUGUUGACUUUGAGAGAGUUUUCUUUAGAGAGGGAGUUUGAAUAUUUGAAGUGAGGGGUCUUGUGUAGGUCUAGGGCUUAAAACUAACUUGAUAUAACUUAAACUCUAAAAAUAUCAGCCUAGGGUCCUAAAAUACUUGGGUUAAAUUUACACAGAACAACCCAAGUAGGUAGCGAAUGUGCAACAACUUUAGCAAGUGCCAUUCGACCACCCAAGCUACUGGGCGUCGUUUGAUCGACGGCCCGUGCUGCUAGGCUUCGAUAGCUUUCGAGACUGCUUUAAUAGGGUUCUAGACUUCCCAUUAAGUAUUGUAUGAAACCCACCACCACCACCACCACCCCAUUAUACGGGGCGUUGAUGGGCCUACGCCCAGUAGACUGCCUCAUCGAUUGAGCAACGGUCUUAGCAAUUUUGUCCAAGUCUUGGGACCUUCAUCUAAGGCCCCUUGUGUCUCCUAGGUGGGGUCGUGCCCGGAUAUUAAACCCCUAAUCUAAGUCAUAUAGCUCUUAGGAACACCUCACAUCAGUCUUAACCAAAACGAACACGUAAAACUCACUCAAACACAAUAAGACGCAAGAACACUUUUUAUGGCCCACCUUCCGAACGUCAUGGACGUUCUUGGACGUUUGACCUCCAAACUUAAAAAAACUUCACACACUGAAUAAGAACACUAAAUUAACUCAUAUUAAAACAAAAUUAACUCAAGAAACACUCGCGAGACUCUAUUUCACUUUAAAUCGUUUUGGGGCGUUACACCCAAUUCUAGUUUUUCGAAUGACAAGACGAUGAAUUUGGCCAAGAGUCCACAGGUUAUCGAUAUCCUUACACUAUAAAUAUCUUCCUCCUUCAUUACAUAGCCUAUAGCAUCUUUUGGAGGGUUUUGGGGUUGUUUCUUGUCUCUUUUAGGUGUUUUGGAACAAAGAGAAAAUAAGACUUCGCGCUAUUUAUAUUCUAUCUUGUCUUUCCCACUCUGGAGGCUAGUGUUGUCCUAGUGGCAUAUAUCCCGCCCUGGUGGUACAAUGGCUCGAGUAUUUUUCUGAUGUUUUGCUUUUUUGGAAUAACUACUCUUCGGGUCGUUACAAGUUGGCUUAAAUAAUUUUUAUUGAUAUAAUAUUAUUAUAUCAAUUAUUUAAUAUUUAUUAAAUUUUAGAAAUUUAGUACUACUGCUUGCAAAAAUAUCAAUGUAUUUCAUUGAUUGAUUUAACUUAUGGAUUAACAUUACAAAAAGAAUGAAUUAUCCUACCAAUUUAAAAUCUCAACGUAAUUAGUCAAAAAUGACUAAUAAAUAACUAAAUUAAUUUCAUGUAUUCUUGUAAUGACCCUUAAAUGAUAUGAAGGAGUGAACUACAAGCUCUGUGGCCGACCAUCCUUUUUUGAUAAUAUUUUUUGAAUAUUCAUGUGUCGCACUUCAUUUUAAUGCUAUCUUUUGAAAUAACACUAAGCUAGCGUUUGAUCAUAUAUUUUAUAAUAUUUUUUAAGUGAAAAUUUGAGUGAGAUUUCACCAUGUGUUUAGCCAUAGUAUUUGGAAAACAUAUUUCACUUUUUUAGAAAAGUAUGAGUUAUACUUAUGAGUUUUAAAAACUAUCCAAACUAAUCAUAAGUUGGUAUUACAAGUCAAUUGGAUGUUCGUUGCAAUAAAUAACAUGAAGUGUCCAUGUCAUUGGAGCAAUAUGGUAGUUUGGAGUGAGUGCAACAAAUAUCAUUGCAUGCAUCGUGUAGUAGACAAAGUACAUGAUUUUUUACCUUAGGUUAUUGUUCAUCACUUCUAUUAACAACCAUGAAAUCACUUUCAUAUUCAUUGAAUUUUUCAUUACUACUCGGUGUUCAAGUAAAAAAAAUUGUGAUUCUACGCAAACAACUACUAUAUAGGGUGUUUUUGUAAAAGAUAAAAAAUUAGUGUAAAAUUUCAAUUCCAAAUGAGAUUUGACUCAAAUACUAGAAAAAAACUAGUAUUUAGAAAUUUGGAUAUUUGCUAAAAAUAUUUGUCAAAUAAUGGAAAAUUGUAUGGACAAAUGCUAUUUGUCAAAUAUUUCUUAGGAAAUCUAUGGACAAAUGGGAGCGCUUACACUUCAAUUAAAUAAAUUGCUCUUCAAUUAAAAACACUAAAAAGUAAGAAAAACAGAAGCAAAAUUGAUAACAACCAAAUCAAAUCAAAAUCGAAAACAAAUAACUUAAUUUAAUUUUGAUUUAUAAGUUAAUAAUCUAUUAAAUUGUUGAAUUUUAAUUUUAAUCAUUGAUUGAUUCAAACUGACCUAUGAACACCUUUAGCUACAUUGAUACGAACAUAAUUAUUUUAAAUUAUUAAUUAGUGGUUAACUCGGAUAAUGACUCAAACAAGUGGCACGUAUAACGAACAAUUCAAGAAAUUAAAUUUGUCUAUAUAACUGUUGACAAAUGCGGACCAAUUUUUUUCAAGGAAAACAAGUUGAUUUUUUUUUUGGAUUUUUAAUAAUAAGUGGUGUCCCAUAUUUCAUUUGACUCAGAAAUCUGAAAAAUGCAAAGGUACCCAUAUAAUUCUAUUUUUUGAUAUGUUAUUUUUAGGCGGAAUUCAUUCUGAUAAUUAAAUUUGGUGUAAUUAAGUAUAAUUGUAUUAUUUAGUAUGUUUGAAUUGUCAUUUAGUUACUUGGUUAGCAGGUGAUAAGGUACAAUUAACUAACGUAAAUAACCCCUCUAAUUCACAUCAAAGGUUGUGAAAUGUUGAUAACUAUUUUAUGAGGUAAUUAUAUGUUGGUUAUAUUUUAAAUUCUUAUUUUUUUUAAUUUUUUCCUUCUAAGUUAUUUUAAAUUCUUUUUAAUUAUUGUUAUUCUAAUAUUUUCUAAAAAAAAAAUAUUUUACAUUUUAUUUCCUUCUCAUUCCCAACCUUUAUUUCAUAUAGUGUCAUGCAAUUUUGUGUAUUAUCUUUACAAAGAAUCAUUAGUAAAAUUUUGUUAGCAUUCUAAUUUUUGAAUUAAGGUAAAAUUCGUUGUUGAAUAAGGUUAUGAACUUAUAUUUUCCUUUUCUUUCAAAUGAUAUGGUAGGUUGAAAUUAACAUCAAAGUAUUAUGUUAAUUUUUUUUAUUUUGAAGUUUAAACUUAUGUUAUAUUUUUAAUUUCAUUUACUUAAGGAGUAUUGACUAGAUAUUUUACAUUGAAAUUUAUUUUUAGUUAGACUUGAUUUAUUAUCUUUUUGUCAAUUUCUUUUUAUAAUUUUAUGACAUUAUAUUCACAGUAUUAAACUUUUUGUCAAAUAUUCAUUUCAAGAUGUUCAUAGAAAUUUUGCACUUUUAGUUUUUAUUAUUAAUUUAAUUAAAGAUACUAAAUUGAAACAUAUAAAUUAAUUAUUUUUAUAAUAUUCAUUUAUAUUUACAAAAGACACUGCGUAUUUAUUAAACUGUGCAACCAAAUAGUAUACUUACAUUUCUUUUACCUUAUUAUUAUAUUGGUGUAACCAAACGGUACAAUUAUAAUUACACUGUAAUUACGUUGUCUGUAACAAAUAAAUAAGUGUAAUUACUAGACUAAUAUUACUAUCCUUGUAAUUACACCAACUCCACUUAACUUCUGCCUUUCCAAAUAGACCCUAAGUGUAAGGACAAUUUUGAUAUGGAAAAUUUGAAAUUGAAUCUAAGAAGUUAUGAAAUAAUUUUCAUGAAUAUAUGAGGAAAUUUUUUUCAAUGACGGAGUUUCAUGAAAACAUAACAAAGUUACUCCGAUGUUAUGCAAGUUAACGAUGGUCCUUAGUUUUAGUUCAUUUUUUUGGUUGUAUAUAACCGCUUUGAGUGCUGAGAUCAAUAUUUAAAAGUCAUGAGAGUAAUAUGAGACUUUUAAUUUGGUACUCCAUCUGUCCCUAUGUAUUUGUUUAUUUUUUUAUUUGGCACACCUAUUAAGAAAAUAAUAAUUAACAUAGUGAUUUUAUCUUUUCACCUCUAUUAAUUGACAGAAUUCUAAAAUCAAUCUACUCACUAAAAAGGUCUUACCUUUAUCAAAAACAUUAACUCUUAAAAUAAAUUGAAGGUAUAGUAGGUAAAAGAAAUAUUAUUUUUUUCAUGAUUUGUGAUAUAAUGUGAGCUUACGGUAGUUUUAAUUUAUUUCACUUAAAAAAUUGCGUGUGUCCAGGGACUUCUUGUAUUGGUAUUUAUGUGUUUUUAUCAUAUUUUUCAGGGAAUAUGUUUAGGCACGGAAAUAAAGAGAUAGCUAGAGGAAAUUGCAGAAAAAGGCAUCUAUGGAGGUGAACUACGGAUCACAGGUCCAUUGACGUUCCAUAUAUGGUGAUUGUAGAUCAGCAAGGCAAGACAUGGAAGGAUAAUCAAGGAAUCUGACUAAGUGUGGAACCACGACGACCAUUGACAGUCCAUAGAUUGAUCUAUGGAUCAUGCUACUAAAUUGUGGAAUGAGAUUGUGAAGGUUCCAGUUCCUGAUUUGUGAAAAAUUCUAAGUAUGGAGCAAUGGAGAGGGAUCGACGAACCGUAGAUCGAUCUAAGGUCCGUACUAGUGUUCCAUCGUUUGUUUCAGAGAAGUUGAUUUUUGGAAGCUAAAAAUAUUCUACAAGUCCAAGCUAAUGGAAGAGACUCAUGGACCGUAGAUCCAUUGACGGUCCGUGAGGCAGUCUCUUAGAACAAACACGUGUGCUUGAAUAAAAUUUCCUUAUUUUUGUUUCCAGUUAAGUUAGUACUUGUUUUCUAUUAAUAUGGUAUGUAAACCUCAUUUUGGAGGUUAGACAUAUUUACUUAAGUUCUAAUUUUGACUUGGGAGCUAAUUUUUUGCAACUUGAGAAAUUUAUUUGUUUUUCGAAUUUUGUUUUGAAUAUUGGUUUUUCUCAUUUGUAUUGCGUAAGUUCAUGAUUCUUUCAACUAAAACUAUGAAUGUGUUCUUUCUACUAUGGGUAAUUAAAUCCAAAACUAGGUUUUUGAGAACCAUGAGCGAGUAACGAAGUAUGAAUAGUAACUAAGUAAUUCCUAUAUAGUAUUUUUGCAUGCAUAGAUAAUUCUUUUUUUAGAAGUCUUUUAUUGGUGGUCAAUGUUAGAACUUGCAUUGUUGCUACUUACCGAACUAAUGAGGUAGUUAAUAAGAAAAGAAUUAUCAAUAUAUACUUAGUGAGAUACUAUCUAACAGAAUUAUUAUCGAUUGGUGCGAAGGUGAAAACUAAGUCAUACAUCGAUGUGAAGUCUAAUAUGAGGUAAUGGUAAGAGUUAGUAAAUUAUACACACGUAGCCGGACCAAGGUGCGGGGUGAAAUUCUCUAGAUGUCAAACCAAGGAUUUAGAAACACAUAACUUAUCGCUUUGCAUAUAACACACUAGGAAAGAAUUGUUAUUACUAGGAUUACAAAUCAUAAGCUUAUGGGAACACAUAUGCCCUAUUUUCUCUCUCAUCUUGAUAACAUUCGACAUUAACUUUUCCAAAUUGAUUACUCAUAUAAUUUCACGAAUUUGUUACACAAAUCCGCCCUUUUUAAUUAUUUGUUUCCGAAAUACUCUGGCUAAAUAAAGAUAAUCGUAAAUCUAACUUAAGUCUAGAUCAUAUUUCUCGUGGAUUGACCCCAACCUACAAGUUGGAUUCUUUACUUAAUAACGGUCGCUUUUGUUCUUUAGGAAGGUGUAAUUUGAGUGUAUCAAAUUUUGGAGUUGCUGCCAGUGAAUACGGCUUUUACAUUAAGUUUGACUACAUUGUUGAACUUUAGCCAAAUAUUUCAUAAUUUUACUCUUUCUUUUGGUUUUUGCUUCUCUAGGGUUCUUACUUUAAUGUAUGCCAAGUACAUACAGCCAAGGCUACACCAAAGGGUUGUUGAUGUGAACAAUCAGGAUCCAGUUGACAAUAGAUUGGGAGAUGCACUGAGGGUAUAGGAUCCAUUAGGGCCACAACCACAUGACCAAUUUAGAGCCAACCUACAUAUUUUUAAAUCUGAUGGACUUUGUGUUCUACCGCCUCUACCUCCGGGGCAUACAUUUAUGGUGACUAAUAGUUUGAUGCAGAUGCUUACAACAAGAGGUUUAUUUGAGGGUUUUCAAGAUAAUGAUCCACAUGCUCACAUCUCCAAACUCAAUCAUGGCUGCAAAAGUUUCAUCGUGCGAGCGGAUUGGGAUAUGAACAUUAUUGGGUUGCGGGUAUUACCACUAUCAUUGACUGGAUAGCUGUUAUGUUGUUCAAUGAACUCCUUACAACCAAUAUAUAUACGGGACCAGUUGACAUAGGCGUUCUUAGCAAGGUUCUUUCCAGUGUCCAAGAAGCUGAAUAAGAAUGAUAAACUCAACAACUUUGUGGCACCACCUGGCGAACCUAUGAGCAGUUCUUGGGAAAGGUUCGCUGCCUUUAUGAGAGGUGUCCUGAAUCAACACAUUGAUGGUGAGCCGCUUAACGAGUACUUCUAUCGGGAAAAAGAUAAUAAUGGUAAGGCAAUACUUUAUACCAUCACAAAAGGUUCUUAUGUUAAAUGCACAUGGACAUAGAUCUCGGAGAAAAUAAAUAAGAUAUCUCGAAAUAACAAAGCUUGAUCACUAGAAAAUUAAGACACUGGAAGGAUCACAUAUGUAAUUCAUGCUACAAACAAUCAUCCCUGGGAUGAGAUUUGCGAGGAAAUGGCGCAUAUGUGGAUCGAACUAGGUUGGUGUUAAAGCAUGUGAUUGGAGGAAAGAGAAGGUAAAUGCAGUGAAAUAUUUAACUAGGGCUACACCAUUGGGAUAUGAGUAUUACUAUGAAGAGGAUGUUUAUACUCUGAAUGAUCAAAUUGGGGGUUUCCAACCAAAUGCCCAAGGUUCCAAUCUCGAUAAUUUGCGCCUCGGUUAAGAAACCAAGGUAAGAACUAUGUCAACUACAACAGAGAGGGUAAAUAUGUCGAGAUCGGAAUUACAAUCGUGAUAUUAAUUACAAUCUGAACUGCUAUAACAACAGAAACGAUCAAGUUGGACAUUAUGUACCCCCUCAAAAUAGGAAACUGCACCUAGGGAUGUUGGAGGUAAUAUGGUGUGUGAUGAGGAUAUGACGCAAAAGAUGAUGAGGCGGUUCGAUGCGACUGAUGAGAAUGUGAAAGAUAUGAGAAAUGACUUAACUGGUAUUUGUCAAAAAUUGAUGCCGACGCAGUAUUAAUCAAUCAUGUUGAGAUACAGAUGAAUCGUUUCUCUACCAUAGUGAAACCACGGAAACCUAGCACGCUUCCUAGAAACACCAUCCAGAAUCCAAAGAAUAAUGGACAUUGUAUGGAGGUUACUACUUGAGGGGAUAAGCAAACCAUUGAUCCACUGAUGUCGUUUGUGAUGGAGACGGAUACUAGAAAAGAUAAUGAGGUGGUAGAGGUUAGGGGAGAGUCGGAGAAUACGACAUACAAGGAGGCGGAAGUAACUCAGAAAUUUUUUCUUAUACCUAUACCUCCACCUCCUUUCCAUAGAUGUUAGCAAAGAAGACUGAAGAAAUCAAAUAUCACAGCUUUAUAAGUAUGUAGAAGCAGCUUUCCAUUAAUGUCACUUUGAUAGAAGCUUUGGAGCAAAUGUUUGGGUACGCGAAAUUCUUGAAAGACAUGGUGACAAAGAAGAUGACAAAAACUUUUGAAGAUGAUGAUAAAUUUCAGCAUUGUAGUGACAUUGCUACAAGGUCCUUGGUACAAAAUAAGGAUUACCCUGGCGCUUUCACCAUUCCACCUACGAUGGGGUUGUUACAUUUUGCUAAGGCAUUAUGUGAUCUUGGUUCUAGCUUGAACCUCAUUCCCUUGUCUAUUUAUAAGAAAUUGGGUCUAGGGGAUCAGAAGACUACUGCGAUGUGGCUACUGACGGAUGAUCAGAUUGUGAAGAGGCCCAUUGCAGUACUCCACGAUGUUUUAGUGGAGGUUGAGUAAUUCAUCUUUUCGGAGUAUUUUGUAAUUUUUGAUAGUGAGGUUGAUUUUGAGGUUCCCAUCAUUCAUGGGAGACCAUUCCUUACCACUGGACGCGCUUUGGUAGAUAUGGAAAAAGGACAGAUGAAGUUCAGACUGAAUAGUGAAGAAGCUAUAUUCAAUAUUUGCAGGUCCAUGAAGCAAAGUGAUGAAGUCCAAUCAGUUUUCACGAUAACCUAUAGAGUUGAAAACGUGCCUGAAGUGCAAAUCGAAGAGAGGUUGGAUAUUGAUUCACUAACAAUUGUUAUGAUGAACUUCAAGAGUGAUGGUAUUAAUGAUUUUGAUGAGUUGGUAGUUGCAUUUAAUAGAUUUGAAUAUCGGUGAAAACCCAAGAGAUUGGAGUUAGACAUAAAGAAUCGUAAAACCCCACCCACAAAGCCAUCUAUUGAGGAAGCACUGAAAUUGGAGCUUAAGGCUCUACCAGCUCAUUUGAGGUAUAUGUUCUUGGGUAGUGAUUAGAUGCUACUGGUUAUCAUUGCGGCAGAUUUGAAUAUGAGACAAGUAGAAUGUUUGGUUAAUGUGUUGAAGAGGUUCAAAAUAGCUAUUGGAUGGACCAUUGCAGAUAUUAUAGGGAUACCUCCCGGUAUUUGUUCUCAUAAAAUCUAACUCAUGUCAGAUCAUAAGCCUAGUAUUGAGCACCAAAGAAGGUUGAAUCCACCUAUGCAAGUAGUUGAAAAGAAUAUCAUCAAAUGAUUGGAUAUUGGAGUCAUUUAUCCUAUAGAAGAUAAUAAUUGGGCGUGUCCUGUUAAGUGAGUACCUAAAAGGGUGGUAUGAUUGUGGUUCCUACUGAGAAAAACGAUCUUGUUCUAAUUCACCAUGUUACUUAAUGGAGAGUUUGUUUGGAUUACCGAAAGUUGAACGCUUGGACAAAAAAACCACCUUUACUUUCCCUUAUGGGACUUUUGCAUUCAAACGGAUGUCAUUUGGGUUGUGCAAUUCCCCAAUAACCUUCCACCAUUCAAUGAUGUUGAUAUUCUCUAAUAUAGUGGAGGACACUAUUGAGGUGAUCAUGGAUGAUUUCUCUGUUGUAGGUGACUUUUUUGAUUGUUUUCUGGAUUAUCUAGCCGAGGUAAUCAAAUGAUGUGAAGAUUGUAAUUUGGUGCUAAUUUAGGAGAAGUGUCACUUUAUGGUGAAGAAAGGUAUAGUGUUGCGUCACAAGAUCCCGGAAAAGGGUGUUGAGGUUGAUAGAGCUAAAGUCGAGGAGAUAGAAAAGCUUCCAACACCCAACUCUAUAAAGUGUGUUAGAAGUUUUCUUGGGCGUACUGGUUUUUAUAGAAGCUUUAUAAAGGAUUUUUCAAAAAUUGCAAAUUCUUUGUGCAAACUACUUGAGAAGGAGUAUAAGUUCUAUUUUUAUUAUGAUUGUCUGAAAAUAUUUGGAGAGUUGAAGGAGAAGUUAGUCUUGUGCCUAUUAUUAUUUCACCGGAUUGGGGUGAACCGUUUGAGGUAAUGUGUGAUGCAAACGGAGUUACGCUUGGUGUGGUAUUAGGACAAAAGAGAGACAAAAUUCUCCAUCCUAUUUACUAUGUUGGCAAGGCCCUAAAUGUAGCCCAAAAGAAUUAUACAGUGAACGAAUAAGAGCUUCUUGCAGUGGUGUUCACCUUUGAGAAAUUUCAGUCCUACUUGCUUGGUACUAAGAUCAUAUUUCAUAAUGACCAUUUUGCAUUAAGGUAUUUGAUGGUGAAAAAAACGCAAAAUGUAGGCUGAUUAGAUGGUGUUGUUUCCGGAAGAGUUUGAUUUUGUGGUAAAAGAGAGAAUGGGGACCGAAAAUCAAGUAGUCGGACACUUGUCCAAAUUAUAGGAAGAUUAUAUGCUCAAGCUUGGUGAUAAGGCUGAAAUUAAUGAUGUCCAUAUUGAUAGUUAUUUCCAGAUGAACAGGUAUUGGUUGCCACUCAUGAUCUCAUUUUGUGGUUUUUAGACUUUGCCAAUUAUUUGGCAAGCAAUUUGGUGCCCCCGGACUUAUCUUUUCACCAAAGGAAGAAGUUUAUGCAUGAUGUAAAGAAGUUCUUUUGGGAUGAGCCUUACUUGUAUCGUAGUUGUGGUGAUGAAAUCGUCCAUCGUUGUGUGCCCGAGGAUGAUAUGUUGAGUGCUCUUGAGGCAUGGCAUUCACCGCCCGUGGGUGGGCAUCAUAGUAGUAUCCGCACACGGCGCAUAAGAUUUUGCAACGUGGUUCCUAUUGGCUUACCAUCCACCAAGAUGCUCAUGAUUUCAUAAAGUCAUGUGAUUGUUGCCAAAGAGAAGGUGAGAUUUCAAAUAGGAAAGAACUUCCCAUGAAUCUUAUAUUGGUGAUCGAACAAUUUGAUGUAUGGGACAUCAAUUUUAUGGGACCUUUUGUGAGUUAUCAUAGGAAGUACUAUAUUCUUGUUGCGGUUGAUUAUGUGUCCAAAUUAGGUAGAAGCAAUCACGCUCCUCAAUAACAAAAGAAAGAGUGUCACUGUAUUCUUGAAGAAGAAUGUUUUCUCCGGAUGUGGUACACCAAGGGUGAUUAUUAGCGAUGGAGGUUCACGCUUCUGUAACGAGUUGUUCAAAGCACGUCUUGAAAAAUUUGGUGGCCGCCACAACAUAACUACCACUUACCAUCCACAAACUAGUGGACAAGUUGAAGUGUCCUACAGAGAAAUCAAACAUAUUUUAGCAAAGAUUGUGAAUACUAAUAGUUAGGAUUGGUCAAGGAAGCUUGAUGAUGCGCUAUGGGCGUACAACACUGUAUACAAGAUUCUCGUAGGUAUGUCUCCAUACCAACUCAUAUAUAGGAAGGCUUGUUAUUUACAGGUAGAGCUACAGCAUACAACUAUGCAUGCCAUGAAGAAGUUGAACUUUGAUUAGAAUGUCGCAUCCAACCAAAGAAUCAAUGACUUAAACACGCUUGAGGAGUGGCGCUUAAAACCUUUUGAAAGUUCAGCCUUGUACAAAGAAAAGAUUAAGAGGUAUCAUCAUCAACGGAUUGAAAAGCGUGAAUUUGUUGUAGGUGAUCUUGUGAUUCUAUUCAACACUAGGUUGUGCUUGUUUUUGGGGAAACUCAAGUCAAAAUGGGCAGGGCCAUUUUACUCACAAAGGUACUUCCCCAUGGAGCGGUUGAGCUGGAAAAUAGUGAAGAAAGAAGAUUCAUGGUGAAUAGUCAAAGAAUCAAGAUCUAUCUAGGAAACGUUGAGAGUGUGCAACAGGUGUCGAGGCUUUCUAUAUUGAUUUAGUCUAAGUAAUAAAGAGUCAUGCGUCGUGCCGCAAUGUUAAAUCAAUUGCUAUUAGGGAGGCAAGCCAAGAUGUAUUAUCUAGCGAACUAUAAGUUUUAGUUUACAUUUAGUAGUUUCUAGGAUUAAUUAUCUUUCUGUAUUCAAGUAUUUAAAUACUUUAAAUUCUUGUGUUAGGGUUGCCUUGAUAGAGAGCAUAGGGUCCGUGUCUAAAAAAAGUUUCCAGAAAAUGCAAAGAGAAAGGACUAAUGGUUGCUACUUGUGCAGGUGCGCUAGGCAAUAUCUGUAGAAAAAUUGUCUGGUGCAGAGGUCUACGGACCCCAUUGACGGUCCAUCAAUCAUUACACGGACCGUGAAUGUCGUCCACAGAUCCCAGGUAAGUCCCUAAUUUUUCUAAGUCAAAGAGUAAUCUAUGGUCCCAAUCUACAGACCGUAGAUCGACCUACGGACCGUCAACGAGGUCUCGUAAGUCCAAACCCUAGUUGCCUUACCCGACCUUAACUUCUCUAUUUAAAAAUCCCACUUUCAAAUUCUUUCCCUCUUCCUUCAUUUCCCCACAACAAUUUCAAACUACUUCAAAUCCCCUAAAUCAUUCCAAACUCACCCUUAAAUCCCUCACAUUCCAUUUCCAAUCUAUUCCUAUUCCUUCCCCAGAAAACACCCCACAUCAUCUCCCCUAAAUUCUCUCAACUCCUACCUCCAAAAAUUUUGAUGUUCGGGCUCACUGCAACUAGGCAGUUAGUUUUGGUAUUGUAAAGCUUUUGUCUCCACACAAUCACUUCACUUCUCAAUACUUGUAAGGUAAUAGACUUUCCCUCGCUUUGAAUUUCGGUUCAUAGAUUUAAUAUAGAAAGUCAAGAGUCAGAUCUUGACCUUCGGUGUUUAAUAAAUGAUAAAGCAAGCUAAAAAACUAACUUAAAACCAUCAUUGGGACGACCGAUGGUGAUUUUGUGUAGUUAUAUUGCCUGAAAAAUGUGUGUGAUACAGUCUAAAUGUAAGUUUCGACUCAGGGUUCCACAUUCUGUUUUAAAUAAUUACUAAAAUUUGUAUAAUUGGAACCAUGAGAAUGACGAACUAGCAUGAUUAAAUGUUGUAAUACAUGGUUAGACUAGAAUUUUUGUCAAAAAUGGUCAUACAUGUGGAUUUGAAAUUGAAAUCAUGGCUGAAAGCUGGCACAAAUACCAUCCACAAAACCCCCUUUACGGACCGUAGAUCAAUCUACAAACCAUCCAUCUGGUCCGUAGAUGGAUGCACUACAAAAAGUCACUAAGUAUGAAACAAAAUACAUGGACUAUGGUCCGUAGAUCAAUCUACAAACUAUUAAGUGCAUAUGUGGUUUCCAUCUGGAACCAAUGUUAUGGUCCAUCUAUCCACUAACUAAUUAGUGUGUGUAGUUAAAUUGUGUUGGAACUAAUAACUCUUCAACAGGUACUAUGGUACCUAAGAAAAAAGUUGUCUACACAAAACGGGGUAAAUCCAAAUCGUUUACCCCUAUUUCAAGUUGAUAAACAGGGACACUAACGAGGAAAGGGAUCCUACAUAUGUACCUCCCAACAUACGCACCUCUACCACUGCACCGCGGACCACUAGAGGACCCCCUGGGAGUUGAAUCCCGAUAUCGUCACUCUCUCAAGCUUAUGAGGAGCACAUACUGGUUGGUUCACCAACUAGGGUUAUUUUCAUCUCAGAGGAUGGGUCAACUGUCGAGUUCCGAGUAUACCCCAGCUUCAGGCUAUGUGUUCGGUCGCGCUUAAGAGUCUGCCAUGCAUUCAGCCAUUGGUUCCGAGAAUAAUGACCAAGUAGUCUCGUCUGAUGAUGCAACUAGCUCAGAAUCAACACAGGUACCAGGGGUUUGUGACCCAACUAUUGUAGUCGGCGAGCCAAAUAGAUGGUGUGUUGAGGCAUAGUGGUAGAUCUAUCGUGAUGCUAAGAGGCUUAAUAAAUAGGAAAAAAUAAAUCGAUUAAUCAUUGAGGAGCUCACAAUCCUCAUUGGGAGCUUGCAUACAAUACCGAGGUAGACCAGUUGUUCAAACUCCACAAGUGCGACUGGAUGGCUUAAGAACCCGGAACAUACAGUGAGGAGAUUGUGCAAGAGUUUUAUGUUUCCUCUAUUGCCACUCUUCGAGGAAUGAUUCCCAAGAAGGCCAAGCCCACAGGACAGGACCCUCUAACUUCCACCAUGGUUAAAGGUUGUCCAGUGGAAAUUUUACAUGCCACCAUCAGUCGGUUUCUCUAUGGCGCUAACACCAGUCACACAUAUGCACUAAAUACCCCCGAGUUUGACUAUAUGUGGGACAUAGUUUAGAGUGGUGCUUUUAAGAUGAAUGUUGAGCACCGGGAGAUUGUUACAGUAUGGCUACCAAAAUACGUUGUUAUAUUACUAUGAAAAGUACCAUAACAUACAAUACUUUAAUUUUUGUAUAGUUUAUUUUAAUAAUUUUCUAAAUUUUAAAUAAUUGAGUUCAAAUAAUCUAAUAUAACAUUCAUAAUAAGUCAAUUUAAUCCUCAACAAAUGAAAUGUAUUACAUAAAUUAAACCACCAAAAAUUCAAUACAAAAUAUGAAUUUACAUAACUCUGAUCAUUUCAUCGGUAAUGACAUGCAAAUUCUUUUUCUUUACUAUCUUCGUCUACUUUUAAUUGUCACGAUUUUCCUUUUUAUAGUCAAACUAUAAGAACUUUGACUAACAUUUUAUAAUGUAUUUUUUCAUCACAUUGAUAUGCAAAAAAAUUGUAAUUUAUAGUGUUUUUCGUAUAGUUUUUGAAUAUCUGAAUUUUUUAUUUAAAAUAUCAAUUAAAGUAAUUUAAUUUAACUUUGAAAAUUAGUCAAAUUGACUUUCAAUUAAAAGCGCAGCAUGACCAUUAUAAAAUGGACGGAGGUAUAGUAUAACACAAACUUAGGGGGGAGGGGGGAGAGAGAUGGAUAAGUCUCGUGUAAGCAGUUUCUCUAUCUACAUAGAGUAGUGAUAAAGUUUGAAAUACAUUGUAUUCUCCUCAAAUCCUUCUUAUGAGAUUUCACUGGAUAUGUUAUUACUGUAGUUGAUGACACGGGGAAAUUGCUUGAGUUCUACUUUUUCUCUUCUGCAAAAAUCUUUGUAGAGAUUUUUUCAUAGAAACCUCAGUUUCAAAUUGUGAUAAUGAUGAUGGUGGCUCCGAAAGUGUCGAUGGUGUUUUUGUGUUCUCCUUCAUUUCCCUACUUGCAAGAUGUAUUAUAGCUUUAGCCUAUAUUAUCGAAAAAUAAAAACAAAUAAAUUUAGAAUCAUAAUAAAAGUACUCAUUAGUAACAUAGAAAAGUUGGAGAAGCCAUAUAUAUCUAUCUACUAUCAGAACAAAAACUUAAUAUACCUUAAUUAUAUAUUUCUGUCCAAAUUUAUUUUCAUGUGUUAAUUUAGACUAAAUAUGUCUCUUAUACUUUACUAGGUAUAAAAGCUCGGGAAGUCCGGACCCAAUAUAUAUAUAUAUAUAUAUAUAUAUAUAUUCACAUAAUAUAUGUGACAUACUAUUACAAGUAGUCACACUAAAUCUACAAUGACUAAAUUAUUCUCGAAAUUAGUGGACAAAAUAUUUUCGAUGAAAUUAAAAAAUUUUAAAAAAAAUAAUUAUGUAAAAUAAAGAUAGAAUAAUUAAAAUAUAAAUAAGAAAUAUAUUUACGUAAUACGAAAUGUUGGAAAUCUCAAAUCACUAAAUAAGCUAAAAUUAAAAUAAAAAUAAAAAAAUGAUGUCGGCAAGGUUUUAACUCCAGACUUUGCACUAUAAAUGUCAAGCCUAAACUAAUAAAUCAAACAACUGAAUAUGAAAAUAAACACAUGGUUAAAGCAGAUAUUUGACCGUCAGUUGUGUGCUUAUUAACACUUGUAUAUCUAGUGGUAGAAUAGAUCCCAUUCUUAAGAUAUAUAAAUGGAGGGAUAGAGUUAAUUUGAAGGACCCAAAUUAUUUUUAUCCCAGCUAACACCCAAAAUAAUUAUUUUUAUCCCAGCUAACACCCAAAAUAAUUCAUAACUCAAUCUUACUCUGUUUAAUAUUAUUGCUAAAAACUUGUUUUUAGAACUAAUUUUUAAAAAUGACUUUUUCAAAAAAAAAGUUUUGAAAGAAAACAAUUUGUGGUUGGAUAUUCAUUUGAAAAAGUAUUUUUGAUAAACAAAUUAUGUUUGUCUAUUCUUUAUUUUAAAAAAUUCUUUUGAGAGUCAAAUUAUGAAAAAGGAUAAGUAUUAAUGUGUUAUUAAUAUUAAGAUUAUUUUAUAGAAAGAAACUAUUUUAAAUAUCUACUACAAAAAUUUUAAUUAAAAUUUUAUUUAAGUUAAAUUAAAAUAUACAUAUUCAAAUUUUCAAUCAAUGUUGUACAUAAAUAAAUAAAUUGAAUAAAUUAAAUUUAAUAUAAUCUUAACAUCAUGAUUUAAAUAUAACUAAAAAUCUCAAGUAAAAUAAAUUUAAAAUCAUUCAAUAAAUUAAAUCACUACAUACGAAAAAUUUACCACAAAAAUAAAUAAGUAUAGUCCUUCAUAUUUUUAAUCCUACAAAAGUUUGUUGUUACAUUUAUUUCUAAUUUUGUAGGAUAAAACGUAUAAUAAAAUAAAAAUAUGAAAUAUGAAAUAUAAUAUAUAUAAUAUAAAUAUGUAUAAAUAAUAAUAUAUAAAUAUAAAAUAAAAUAAAAUAUUUAUUAUAUUAAAAAAUAAACUAAAAAAUCUAAAUUCUUGAAUGGAAUUUAAACAAACUUAUGAAAUAUAGUAAUUAAUAAGUAAGAGAUAAAUUGAUAAAUAUGAACAUAUCAAAGAGAUAUUUUAUUCUUAAAAAAAUAAAUUUUUGCUUCUGCUGGAUUUAAGGAGCAGAAAUUUUUAGAUUUCUCCCAACAUCGAAAAAACUAUUUCUAUUUUCAUUUAAAAUUAGUUUUUAAGAUUCUUUAAAAAAAGAAAAAGAAAAAGAAAAGCGAUGUGAAGAUGAUAAAAGUAAAGCUUCAAAAACAAAAAUUAAGGGUGUCUUUCCAAUUUUCUCAUGUUUGGUUGAAUUAAAUAUUUUAAAAAAUGUUUUUUCCAUAUCAACUCAUUUUCCUCAAAUUUAAGAAAAUGACGUCCCUUCAAAAGUUAAGAAAAACAUUUUCGAAAACUCUCUUCCAACCUCCCUCUACCCACACCACCCUACCAGCCCCCACCCACCCUACCAGCCCCAACCUACUCCCCUACCUCCAAAAAAAUUUAAAAUUAUUUUUUAGAAAAUAUUUUCGACUUCAAAAUUUCAUUUUUUUUCAGCCCUACCUCAACCCCUUCCCCCACCCAACUAGCCCCCUACAGCCCCACCCCCCCCCCCCAAAAAAAAGCAAAUUGUUUCCUACUCUUGUAAAAAAUAAAAUAUAUUUCUCAAAAAUAUUUUUCAUUCAACUACACACUAAAAUAUUUUUUCGGAAAAUAUUCUCUACUCACCAAACAAAUAUGAAAAGAUAAAUUAAAUAUCUACUUGUUUUUCAGAAAAUCAUUUUCAUAAAAAGCAUUUUCCUUGGUACCAAACACACCCUAAAUGUCAAAAUUUAUAUCUGUCAAACCAAUAGAAUUUGAAGAACCGCAUUAAUUCAACUUUCAAAAACUUCAGAAUCAAACACACAAAGUUAACUAUUUUUUAAAAUUUUGCAAUUUUUUCUUUUUGAUAUUUUGAAUUUUUGGUUGGCGAAAAAAAUGAGAACAAUAAUUAUAAAAACGAGUUUUCAUUUACUACGUGCAGCUAAUAAGUUGUCAAUUUUUUUAACAAACAAUUCAUUUACUUUUGUUUGACUUAUACAUUGAUUUUGGGCUAGAAAUAUUUUACUGGAUUGUUUUGGGUGUUGACAGGCCGAAAAUAAUUUGGGAUUUCAAAAUUAAUUCUAACCUUUCGUGUGUUUAUUCUAAGAUUGGGACUCAGAUAUUAGCGUGAUAAAGAAUAUAUUUGGUUUUAAGUAUAAUGAAAAAGACAUAUUAAGAUUUAAAAUAAACAUAAACUUCAAAAAUAAACUUAAAUUAUAUUUGAAUUUAAGGGAGGUGUUCUUUUUUGUAGAGCUUUGGACUCAACUCUUGUCCAGAGUUGUUGAGUUAUAAUUUGUGAAGGUUGUAUCCUGGAGGGGAAAAGUCAAAUAGACUACUGCUGGACCGGUAAAAACAUUUGCUGCAGUGGGCUUGAAUCUCCUUAAAGAGAGCGAGAUGUCCGCGCCUCAGCCUUGAAGAGAUUUAUUUCUUUAUUUUUUUUUUCAAUUGUAAACUUGCAAUUUUUUAUUAUCUAGUAAGCUUUUUCACUAACAAUUUUAAGGAGAUUCAAGAUGGCUACGAUUGAAAAAUCGCGGAUGUCAAGAUGGGAGAUCUUAACAAGCCAUUUCGGUUCAAUGUUAAACAUUUCAAGAGAUGGAAGGGUAAAAUACUUUUCUACUUAUGUUUUCUCAAUGUUUCUUAUGUAUUAACCGAGAAGAAUCCAAAUAAAGAAGACAUUACCACUAUGAAUGAUGAUGAAACUAUUUCUCAUCGUACGAUGGUGGUUCCUAUAAAUGUCGGUAUUAUCUUCUUAAUUGUCUAUCUGAUAAUUUUUAUGAUUAUUAUGAUAGAACUUACUCUAGUGCAAAAAAAAAUUGGAAGGAAUUGUAGAGUAAGUAUGAUACCGAAGAGGCUGGGGCAAAAAAUAUGCAGCUAGUAGAUUUUUUCGUUUUAAAAUGGUGGAAAACAAAUCAAUGGUAGAUCAAACUCAAGACUUCAUCAUGAUUGUUGGAGAGCUUAUGUCCGAAGAGGUUAAAAUUAGAGAUAACCUUAUUGUUUAUGACAUAGUGGAUAAACUUCCACAUUCUUGGAAGAAAUUUCAAAAAACUAUGCGCCACAAACAAAAGGAAACCUCUCUUGAAACCUUGAUAAUGAAAAUCCGCAUAGAAAAAGAAGCAAGGGGCCAAGAUGCACUUUUACAAACAGAAGAGAACAACAUUACAUCGAAGGUAAAUUUAAUUACUUCGAAUAAUGUUACUCCUGAAUCUCACAAAAAUAUUUUUUUAAAACCUAAGAAGAAAAAAAUCAAGAAAAAUAAUAGUAGACCUCCCAAGAAAAAUAAUGAUGAAAAUCUCCAAGUACAAAAUAAACAAGUUCAAGAAAAAAUACCAUGCUUUGUUUGUGGCAAGAAUGAGCAUAUUGCUCGAUUUUACAGAUUCCAAAAAAGGUGGUCCUAACCCUCAGGCAAACGUUACCGAAGAACCUUUUGUGGCGGUGAUUACUAACAUAAACAUGGUUAAGAAUGUUGAUGGAUGGUGGACUGAUUCUCGUGCAAACUGUCAUGUCUGUUAUGACAAAGACUGGUUUAAAAAAUAUACUCAUUUUGAGGAGCCCAAAACCAUCAUGCUUGGUGAUGCUCACACUACUCAAGUGCUUGGAAAGGGAGAUGUUGAAUUGUGUUUUACUUCUGGAAGGAUAUUAACAUUGGAAGAUGUACUUUAUAAAGCAGGCUUUAAACAAAUUAUUAAAUCUGAUCAAAAUGUAAUAGUUAAGAAAGGUAUUUUGUGGGGAAAGGGUAUCCAUGUGAUGGAUUUUUAAGUUGAACGUUGAAAUGAAUAAAACUUCUACUUCUGUUUAUAUGCUUUCUUCUACUAAUUUUUGGCAUGCUCGUUUGUGUCAUAUUAAUGAUCGUUAUGUUGGAAUCAUGAGUAGUUUAGGAUUAAUCCCAAAGGUUAAAAAUAAUUUUGAAAAGUGUGAGGCUUGUAGUAAAGUCAAGAUCACUAAAAUGCCUCAUUUUCAAGUUGAAAGAAAAACUGAUUUAUUAGAAUUAGUUCAUACUGAUAUUUUUGAACUUGGUGGAAUUCUAACUCGUGGAGGUAAUAGAUAUUUUAUCACUUUCAUUGAUGAUUUUUCUAAGUUUACAUAUGUUUUACUUGAUGAAAAAUAAAAGUGAUGCUUUUGAAAAUUUUAAAACUUAUCUCCAUGAACAUGAAAAUUAGUUUGGAAGGAAAAAUAUUUUAUAAGUGAUAGAGGUCGUGAAUAUGAAUCAAAUGAGUUUAAUUCUUUUGUUAGAUCAUUGAGAAUAAUUCAUGAAACUACUCUUCCUUACUCUCUUCAUCUAAUGGAGCAGCAUAAAGGAAAAACAGAACUUUGGUUGAAUUGACUAAUGUCAUGCUUAUUGAGUCAUAUGCACCUUUAAAUUUAUGGGGUGAAGCUAUCUUAACUGCUUGUUAUGUGUUGAAUCGUGUGCCUCAAAAAAAGUCAAAAUUGACACCUUUUGAAUUGUGAAAAUGUUACAAACCAAGUUUGGGAUAUUUAAGAGUUUGGGGUUGUCUAACCUUUGUGAGGCUAAUGGAUCCUAAGAUUACAAAGUUGAGUAAGAAAGUUACUACUUGUGCUUUUGUUGGUUAUGCUUCAAAUAGUAUAGCCUAUAGAUUUUUUAAUCUUGAAGAUACUAUUGUGAUAGAAUCAGGUUAUGCUAUUUUCAUGAAAAUAAAUUUUCUUUUGAUACUAAAAAUAGUGGGGGUCAAAGAAUUGAACAAAAUAUUUUGUCACUACCUAGUUCUUCUACUUUUACUUUGAAAAAUAAAGAAGUUAAUGAUUUUGAGUUAAGAAGAAGUAAAAGAGCUAGAGUAGAAAAAGAUUUUGGUCCAAAUUUUUAUGUGUUUAAUGUUGAAGAUAAUCCUCUAACUUUGAAAGAAGCAUUAUCUUCACAUGAUUUUAUUUUUUGGAAAGAGACUGUAAAUGAUGAAAUGGAAUCUCUAAUUUCUAAUAAAACUUGGAAGUUAGUUGAUUUAUCACCGGGUUGUAAAAUAAUUGGUUGUAAAUGGGUCUUACGAAAAAAGUUGAAAUUGUAUGGAUCUAUUGAUAAAUAUAAGGCUAGACUAGUUGCAAAAGGUUUUAAACAACUAGAAGGCCUAGAAUUUUUUGAUAUUUUUUCUCCGAUAACAAGAAUAACAUCCAUUUGACUUUUAGUUGCUAUUGCUACAAUUUUUUAUUUCCAAAUUCAUCAAAUGGAUGUAAAAACUGUUUUUCUAUAUGGAGACCUAAAUGAAGAAAUUUAUAUGGACCAACCCUACUGUUUUGUUGAAGCAGGCCAUGAAAGCAAAGUAUGUAAACUUACUAAAUUCCUAUAUGUCUUGAAACAUGCACCAAAGAAAUGGACAUGAAAAGUUUGACCCUGCAUGAUUGAAAAUGAUUUUAAAAUAAAUGUGUGAUAAGUGCAUAUAUUAUAAGUCUUGGAAUAAUUCACAUGUGAUCAUUUGCCUAUAUGUUGAUGAUUUGUUGAUCGUUGUCUCUGACAUGAAUGUUAUUGAUGAAACUAAAAAUGUUCUUAGAAGCCAUUUUGAUAUGAAAGAUCUUGGUAAGACAAAUUUUAUUCAUGGAAUAAAAAUAACAAGAACAUGUGAGGGGAUUUUCCUUGACCAGUCACAUUAUGUUGAGAAAAUUUUGAAAAAAUUAUAACUUUCAUGAUUGCAAGCAUGUUGCUACUCCUUUUGAUUCAAGUGUUCACUUAUUUCCUAUUGAAAGUGAAAAUGAUGUAAUAAAUCAAAAGGAAUAUGCUAGUAUAAUCGGAAGUUUGAGAUAUGUGACUGAUUGCAUUAGGCCUGAUAUUGCAUAUGCAGUAGGAGUACUUGGCAGGUUUACAAGCAAGCCAUGUAACGAACAUUGGCAUGCUAUAACAAGAGUUAUGGCAUAUUUAAUUGGAACAAAAAAUUGUUGUUUGUUCUAUAAAAAAUAUUCUACUGUACUUGAAAGCUUUUGUGAUGCAGAUUAAAACACUUUGUCAGGUGAUUUCUGUUCUACCACUGGUUAUGUCUUUACUUUUUGUGGUGGUGCUGUUUGUUGGAGAUCGAAAAAGAAAACUAUAAUUGCUAACUCUACCAUGGAGGCUGAACUAAUUGUUUUAGCUUCAGCUAGUGAGGAAACGAAUUGGUUAAGAGAUUUGUUGUUUCAAAUUCCUUAUUUUGAAAAAUCAAUUCCUCCUAUUUUAAUUCAUUGUGAUAGCACCGCUGCAAUUGAUCGAGUUCAAAAUCAUUAUUACAAUGGUAAAUCCAGACCUAUAAGGAGGAAACACAGUAAUGUAAGAUCAUAUUUGACAAAUGGUACCAUUAAUGUUGAUUACGUCAAAUCUUGUGAUAAUCUUGCAGAUCCUCUUACGAAGGCCUUAACAAGAGAAAAGAUUUGGAGCACAUCGAGGGGGAUGAGAUUGAAGCCUAGAAAUUCUUGAGUCAUAUAUGAGGAAAUCCAAUCAGGGGACUAGAGAUCCUAUAACCAGGUUCAAAGGGAAAAUCUAAUCAUAUGAUGGCUUGUUGUGAAAAUGCACUAUCUUUUUAUUCCCUCCCUAUGAUGUGGGUGCAUUAUUUCCUGUAGUUUGUGAAAGUUGUGUUGAUAAAACUCUUAAUGAAUAUCUAUAGCCCGUAUGGAUGGAGUGUUAAACUUACAGGUUCACUCUCGACAGAUUUCACCUAUGUAAUGUGUAGAAGUAGGUCGCUCCUAUGAGAAUUGACUUAUUCUCAAAUGCACUCACGAAACCGGGUAGCACAUGGCUAUAACGUGCUGGCUUUAAAGCUCAUGUCAACACCUUGAUUAUUAUGUGUGAGCAGUGAUAUUUUAUUUCCCUUAAACAGUCACAGUUCAAGUCUGAGACCACUAUGACUCUGGAGUAAAAGUUAUUGUUUUAGUAAGUGGAGGUUCAAUGCAGAGCACACAUUCUUUAUGCAUAGUAAUCUUUCUUCAACUGAUAUAGUCUCUUGUUUAAUAUUAAAAUGAGUGCGAAAUUGUUGAUCUUUUGAGCAUUUUAAUAUUUAUUUAUUAUUAAAUUGUUUCAUAUUAUUAUGUUAAAGGCUAUAUGAAAUUGAGGUUAUGACCGUUGCAGUGCAUUGCAUUUGUGCAUUUGUGCAUUUGGCCCUAUUACUGAAUGGUCACUUAAUGACCAUAUGCAUAAUGCACUUUACUUUCUGAUAAAUGUUGCAAUGGUCAAAAUGUAACAUUUACACGUUGGUGCAUUUGUUAUUCCUUUCCUUUUUUCAUUCUUUACUCUUUCAUUAUCUUUGUAACCUAUAUAACUCUAAAGAUCAUUAUCUUUAUUAUUUACUAUAUCAUUAUCUUCCUAUUCAUUGCUAGGAAGACUUCUUAUAGUAUAAAUAGUGGUGGUCUUCAUUUGAUUUGGUACACACAAUACACAAGAGAAAGAACAUAGAGUGAAAGUGUUAGUUUAAAAGAGAGUUCUUAUUAGUUGAAGGGAGGUGUUCUUUUUUGUGGAACUUUGGACUCAACUCUUGUUCAGAGUUGUUGAGUUAUAAUUUGUGAACGUUGUUGUAUCCUGGAGGGGACAAGUCAAAGAGGACUACUGUUGGACCAGUAAAAACAUUUGUUGCAGUGGACUUGAAUCUCCUUAAAGAGAGCGAGAUAUCCGUGCCUUAGCCUUGCAGAGAUUUAUUUUCUUCAUUUUUUAUUUUCAAUUGUAAUCUUGUAUUUUUUUGUAAUCUAGUAAAUUUUUUCACUAACAAGCUUUAUAUACUUGUUAGGUAGUUUCUAAAUAUGUAGACUUUACUUAAAAUUAAAAAUUAUAUAUCCAAAUUCGUACUAAAUAUUAGUUAAUUUAAUACUGUUACACUAAAUCAACCCAAGCAAAUUGAAACAGAGCAAAACGAUACAACGAUUUCUACCGAAUUAAACCAGACAUUCGAAUUAAUAAUAGAGUGAGGAAAUUAAAGGUGCAAAAUACGUAUACCUGGACCUCGCUAGCAUCAGAAACCACAACUUUUCCAUCAUAAAAUAUAGUUAGCUGCUGAUGUUCCUUCUCUUCAUCUAUGGUUUCUUUAUUUCCCCUAUAGUUCGAAUUAAAGGAGAAAUAAAAUUUAUCGACAAUUUGAGGUGGUUAUAUUAAAAAUUUAAUUUAGGUCAUUAAAUUUAUUGAGUCGAGAUCAUAGCUUGAUCUACAUAGUAUAACAUAUUUUCGAAAAAAAUGAGUACUUACAUGGAAUCGAAGUAUGGGGCAGGAGGAACAAGUCUGAGCUCCAAAUUACACUUUCUUCUCAUCUUAAUAAAUCUUCAAACUAAUGUACAAAGUAAAUUAAGCUAAGAAUUAUUCUAUUUUGAUUGAGAAGAAAAUGGACUUGAGAAAUGUAUUAGUAGUUCAUGAGAAAUAUAUAGUAGUUCACAGUAUUAUUUAAAUGAUAUAUAAUUGUGGAGUUUAAUAUGGUAUGAAGUUUAUUAAACUAGACAUUUUAAACACGACUCUCACACUUUAAUUUUAAAAUGGAAUUAAAAAGAUGUAAAACAACUUGUAGAGAAAAUAUGGCCUACCUAAAUAUUCAAACCACAACUAAUUACAUGUGAUAAAUGAGGUUUUAUCCUAUUUUAUUUCCCAUGACCUUGAUUUGUACAUGCCACCUUUGUUCUUAGAUAAUUUUUGCAAAUUUGUUACAGCGUAGCGAUUUUGUUACAGCGUUCCAUCAUUCUGUGUGUUUGAGUCGGCUUAGGCUACGAUAAACAAUGAUUUCUACUAUAUUAUAUUUAAUGAUAAUAAUAAAUAUGAAUAUUCAUAAUCAACACUUUAUAUAAAUAUCACUCUAUACUUUAGUGACUUUGAAUACAAUGAUAUUUUCUUUGUUUCAAUUUUUUGUGUGACACUUUUUAUUUUUUUAGAGUCAAACAAUUUAAAUUUGACUGUGACUUUGCGCACUAAUUCUUCAAUAUUUUUUAAAUGAAACUUAUAUAUUUGUAAACUAGGUAAAAAAAGUACUAUAAGUCAAAAACAAUCGAUAAUUUAAAAUGUUUAAAAAAUUUAAAAAAAAUUAUCAUCAAAAUUAGACUUGUUUGAAUUUCAAAAUCAAAAAAGUAUCACAAAAAAUAGAUGGAUGAAGUAUUAAUUAACUCAUUACCAUCAAAAGAAAAUUUUACUUCUAACUGAUGUCCCUUUUGUUGCAAGAUUACUAGAUUUUCUUACUUGUCAGCCACAUAAUAUUUGUGCCUUUUAUAAAAUAAUUUUUUUCAGAGAUAUUUAUAUUUAAUAAAUUCUUUAUUGAAAGGACAAGGUUGGCACGUAACCAAUCCGCCUAAUUUCGAUAUUUGCAAAAUCGUUCAUCUUUUUAAAGUUCUUUAGAAUCGACACAACCACCUUUAUACUUAAUUGGAAAAUAUUAGCUCAGAGAUAUUACUUAGGUAUAUAAAAUUCAUUACGAAUUAUUAUACGUACUUCGUAAAGAAGCCUUCAACUAUUUUAAUUAAUAUUUGAGAUAUAAUAUUUUAUAUCUGUAUCAAAAUUUGAUUAAUUUAAAUUCGUAUCACAUAAGGUUAUAUAGUGAUAAUCACUCUCUAUUAAAAAAAAAUCAUAUUCAAAACUUAUAACAAAAUCCUACCGUUUAGUUAAAAACAACUUCCUCAAUUGCUUCGCAUUCUAAUUUAACAGCAUAAGAGGAUAUUAAAUUAGCUGACUUUUCCCAAACUAGAGAGAAGAGGAAAACGUGGAAAAAAGAAUCAAAUUAACAAUUAUAUCUUUGCAUUUCGUCAAGCCUUAAAUAUGCAUUCGUUUGAGGUAGUUGGUUUGAAA
rnacentral:lncRNA from 1 species